ACUCCUACGGGAGGCAGCAGUGGGGAAUAUUGGACAAUGGACCAAAAGUCUGAUCCAGCAAUUCUGUGUGCACGAUGAAGGUUUUCGGAUCGUAAGUGCUUUCAGUAGGGAAGAAAAAUGACGGUACCUACAGAAGAAGCGACGGCUAAAUACGUGCCAGCAGCCGCGGUAAUACGUAUGUCGCAAGCGUUUAUCCGGAAUUAUUGGGCGUAAAGCGCGUCUAGGCGGCCUUUUAAGUCUGAUGUGAAAAUGCGGGCUCAACUCCGUAUUGCGUUGGAAACUGGAAGGCUAGAGUAUCAGAGAGGUGGGCGGAACUACAAGUGUAGAGGUGAAAUUCGUAGAUAUUUGUAGGAAUGCCGAUUGGGAAGCCAGCUCACUGGAUGAAUACUGACGCUGAAGCGCGAAAGCGUGGGGAGCAAACGGGAUUAGAUACCCUGGUAGCGACUGA
rnacentral:rRNA from 1 species